CGCUAGAAGUAUGCAUAACACAUGCAAGUUGAACAAAUAAAUAAUUUUUAUAAGUAGCGAACGGGUGCGUAAUAUGUAAGAAUUUGCCUUUUAAUUCGGGAUAAUUGGGUAAUUUCAACUAAUACCGAAUAACUUUACUCUCAUUUUAUAAAAUGAGAUUAGAAAAAGAUUGUAUCGUUAAAAGAUAAGCUUACACGGGAUUAGGUAGUUGGUGAGAUAAAAGCUGCACCAAGCCGACGAUCCUUAGCUAGUCUGGGAGGACGAAUAGCCACACUGAAACUGAGACAAGGUUCAGACUUCUACGGAAGGCAGCAGUGAGGAAUAUUGGACACUGGGCGAAAGCCUGAUCCAGCAAUACUUCGUGUGUGAUCAGAAGGAUAGGAAACUAUUUGUAAAGCACUAUCAGUAAAAACGACUUUGACUGUAUUUACAGAAGAAGCUCCGGCAAAUUUCGUGCCAGCAGCCGCGGUAAUACGAAAGGAGCGAGUGUUAUUCAGAUUAACUGGGCGUAAAGGGCACGUAGGUGGUUUGUUAUGUGUACUGUUAAAUUUUAAAGCUUAACUUUAUUAUGCAGUAUACACAGCUAAACUAGAGUUAGGUAGGGGGUAGUAGAAUUUCUAGUGUAAAGGUGAAAUUUGAUAAAAUUAGAGAGAAUACCAGUGGCGUAGGCGACUACCUGGGCCUUAACUGACAUUGAGGUGCGAAGGUAUGGGUAGCAAAUAGGAUUAGAUACCCUAGUAGUCCAUACAGUAAACGAUGAAUAUUAAAUGUUGGAAUUCUAUUUUCAGUAUUACAGCUAACGCGUUAAAUAUUCCGCCUGGGGAGUACAAUCGCAAGAUUGAAACUUAAAGGAAUUGACGGGGAUCUAAACAAGCGGUGGAACAUGUGGUUUAAUCCGAUACUACGCGUAAAAUCUUACCAGUUUUUGAAUAAUUUACAGGUGUUGCAUGGCUGUCGUCAGUUCGUGUUGUGAAAUGUUUGGUUCAGUCCUUUUAACGAACGUAACCCCUAUUUUUUAUUACUAAAUUAACUUUUAUUAGAAAAAGUUAAAUUAGAACUUAAAAAAUUAG
rnacentral:rRNA from 1 species